rnacentral:rRNA from 1 species
UACGGGGGGGGCGAACGUUGUUCGGAAUUACUGGGCGUAAAGAGUGCGUAGGCGGUUUGGCAAGUCCGGUGUGAAAUCUCCCCGCUCAACGGGGAACCUGCACUGGAAACUACUGAACUCGAGAGUGGGAGAGGCAGGUGGAAUUCCUGGUGUAGCGGUGGAAUGCGCAGAUAUCAGGAAGAACACUCGUGGCGAAGGCGGCCUGCUGGACCAUUUCUGACGCUGAGGCACGAAAGCCAGGGGAGCGAACGGG